ACCCAACUUGGUGGGUUGUUUUCUUCAAUGAGCCAAACAGCUAAUAGUUGCUAUAAAGUUGUUUAUUGCAGAAGCACAUCAGUCUCAAAAGCAGAUGGGAAGAGCA